UACGAAGGGGGCUAGCGUUGCUCGGAAUCACUGGGCGUAAAGGGUGCGUAGGCGGGUCUUUAAGUCAGGGGUGAAAUCCUGGAGCUCAACUCCAGAACUGCCUUUGAUACUGAGGAUCUUGAGUUCGGGAGAGGUGAGUGGAACUGCGAGUGUAGAGGUGAAAUUCGUAGAUAUUAGGAAGAACACCAGUGGCGAAGGCGGCUCACUGGUCCGGUACUGACGCUGAGGUGCGAAAGCGUGGGGAGCAACAGG
rnacentral:rRNA from 1 species